rnacentral:sRNA from 1 species
AAUUAAGUUAAAGAAAAACCCUUAGAAACAUCUUCGUUAUUGUUGUGUACACUAGUGUUUCCCUUCGCUUUUCAUCAUCAUAUUGAAUAAUUUAAGCUUCAGUGCAUCGCAUUUUGCGAUAAUUUUAAAAAAUCUAUAUUAAGGGACACAUUAUGUCUAACAAAUCAACUGGUCUAGUAAAGUGGUUUAACGAAGAGAAAGGUUUUGGUUUUAUUACUCAAGACAAUGGCGGCGCUGACGUAUUCGUUCACUUCCGUGCAAUCGCUUCUGAAGGCUUCAAAACUCUUGCUGAAGGCCAGAAAGUGUCUUUUGAAGUAGAGCAAGGCCAAAAAGGUCUUCAAGCUGCAAACGUUGUAGCUCUAUAAUUUUAUAGU